ACAACUAUAAGAUAGAUGGGUUUUUUUUUACCAUGUUGACAUCAAAUUAUGCACAAAUUAUUCCAAACAUAUAAGAUAGAUGCUUUGUUUUUACCAUGUUGACAUCAAAUUAUGCACAAAUUAUUCCUAACAAACUGUGACCUGUGUUCUGCACCACCACAAAUGAGAUAAAAGGCACAUAUAAAAGGACAUCAAAGCGUUGCAUUUAUGUAAGACAACACCAAGGCAACACUUUCGCCCCUCCUCUUAUACCUCCACUGACUGACCAACCUUGGCGGGCCGGUGGGCUCCCAGUAGCGGCAGAACAGGUGCAAUCCAUCGGCGUUGACGAUAUGCUGGAGGUCGCUGUAUGGAACUCCCUGCGGACUCCGCCGAGGAGAAGCUCCCGGCUCGGGCAUGGAGGAAAGGGGGGGCUCUGCCGGAGAGAGCAGCCACACGUCAGGUCCACCUGAAAGUGAAGCACGGCGUCAUGGAUUGUGGAGAAGACGCAAGACUUAGUCACUUUGUCGUUGAAGAAACCACCAGUGUGCAGAUUAUCCACCACGGCGCCUGGGGAGAGACACUUCAUUCAUUAAUUAUACCCGAUUUUAUGUAAUUUGUUUUAUUCUUUUCAUGCAAUGUUGUGAACCUACUUUGACAAGAAGCGAGUGCCACCUCGAUACCAAUUUCUCCGUAGUCUUUGAUAAUCUAAACCAGAGAAAAGAUUUAGAUAGAUAGACUUCCUUUAUAGUCAUUGCACAAUAAUAACUGUGAAAUUGCCAAUGAAAUGUCAUAAUUUAUUAUUAUUUUAUAAUUUUAUAUAAUUUUAUAAUUUAUUAUUUAUAGUUCAACUUGGUAAAGGAAGUUCCUUGUUCUUUGUUUUCCUCUGUAGGACUUUUUUGCCCAUCAUUCAUAAUCUUUAUGUGAAACAUGAACACAUUUCUUUACCUUUUCUGUGCAUUAUAACAUGAGAAAACGAGUUAAUUUCAGCUAGCUUACAAUGCUGUCAUUGGGAUAUCUCGCUAAUCGCUUGUUUCGCCGCUCUCAAUUUCGCAUUUUUUACUUGAGGACUGGAGCACAAGACACGUGCUGGAAGACACAGCCAUCCCAAUGAGAGCGGACAUGCUGUGUCCUGAAGAUGACGGUAAGCAUUGAGAAGACAAUGGCGGCGGCGAGUCCCAGGUCAGGGUUCAACAGCACGGUGAGGAUGAAAGUGGUGAUCCAGAUCACCUAAAAUGAAGAGAUGGUUUUCUGGCGCCUUCAAAGGGAGGCCUGCCUCUAACUUCCUCCUGCAUGAAGUCAUGAAGUCAGCCAUAGCAUAUCUGAGUCUUCUCCCAUCCCAUGUGGAAGUGGGUCGCGGGGGUGCUGGAGCCUAUCCCAGCUGUCUUCAAGGGAGAGGCGGGGUACGCCCUGGACUGGUGGCCAGCCAAUCACAGAGCACAUAUAGACAAACAACCAUUCACACUCACAUUCAUACCUAUGGACAAUUUGGAGUGGCCAAUUAACCUAGCAUGUUUUUGGAAUGUGGGGGGAAACCGGAGUACCCGGAGAACAUGCAAACUCCACACAGAGAUGGCUGAGGGUGGGAUUGAACUCGGGUCUCCUAGCUGUGAGGUCUGCGCGCUAACCACUCGACCGCCAUACAGACAUAAGCAAAAAUUAAAUGAUAUAUUAGUGAAAAAGAAAUUUCAAAAGUGCAUUUUCCCCACUUGGCUAUUGUAGUAUUGUGAAAGGAGGCUGAACACUCGCUUGCUCGGUAGCCACAGGUUGCCAACCCCUGAUCGAGUUAAUAAAGUGGCAAGAAAACGGAAUGUUUUUGGAAUGUGGGAGGAAGCCGGAGCACCCGGAGAAAACCAGGUCGGUGGUCAUAACAUGGGGAGAACUCCACACAGAGAUGGCCAAGGGUGAGAUUGAACUUGGGUCUCCUUGCUGCGAGGUCUGUGCACUAACCACUUGUCCGCCAUGCAGUCCCUAUUCUCUAACUAAAUGAAAAUUCCUAUUGAAUCCUAUAUUGCAGAAAUUAAUUUAAUGAGGUCAUGUGUGGACCCAGUUACACAAACAAGUGAUGACUAUAGUGUGUGUGUGAAUGUUUGUAUAAAACUGUUCAAUUCCGUGACUGACUACAAUUUAUUGUACUCACCAUGUCUAGUUUAUUGGUCCUCCACAAUGCAGGUAUAUCCAGGAAUUGUUUCAUCAUACCAUGCAAGUUCACGUAGACGAUGGCGGCCAGAACUGCCUGUG